rnacentral:rRNA from 1 species
GACGAACGCUGGCGGCGUGCUUAACACAUGCAAGUCGAACGGAAAGGCCCUGCUUUUGUGGGGUGCUCGAGUGGCGAACGGGUGAGUAACACGUGAGUAACCUGCCCUUGACUUUGGGAUAACUUCAGGAAACUGGGGCUAAUACCGGAUAGGAGCUCCUGCUGCAUGGUGGGGGUUGGAAAGUUUCGGCGGUUGGGGAUGGACUGGCGGCUUAUCAGCUUGUUGGUGGGGUAGUGGCUUACCAAGGCUUUGACGGGUAGCCGGCCUGAGAGGGUGACCGGGCACAUUGGGACUGAGGUAGGGCCCAGACGCGUACGGGAGGCAGCAGGGGGGAAUCUUGCACAAUGAGCGGAAGCCUGAGGCAGCGACGCCGCGUGCGGGAUGACGGCCUUCGGGUUGUAAAGCGCUUUCGCCUGUGACGAAGCGUGAGUGACGGUAAUGGGUAAAGAAGCACCGGCUAACUACGUG